AUUGAACGCUGGCGGCAGGCCUAACACAUGCAAGUCGAACGAGUGGCGGACGGGUGAGUAAUGUCUGGGAAACUGCCUGAUGGAGGGGGAUAACUACUGGAAAAGGUAGCUAAUACCGCAUACCAUCAGAUGUGCCCAGAUGGGAUUAGCUAGUUGGUGGGGUAACGGCUCACCAAGGCGACGAUCCCUAGCUGGUCUUAGAGGAUGACCAGCCACACUGGAACUUAGACACGGUCCAGACUCCUACGGGAGGCAGCAGUUGGGAAUAUUGCACAAUGUGCGCAAGCCUUAUGCAGCCAUGCCUGAUGUCUGACGAUGGCCUUCGGGUUGUAAAGUACGUUCAGCGGGGAGGCGUUACCCGCAGAAGAAGCACCGGCUAACUCCGUGCCAGCAGCCGCGGUAAUAC
rnacentral:rRNA from 1 species